AAACCAACGGGGAUUGCCCUAGUAACGGCGAGUGAACAGGCAAGAGCUCAGAUUUGAAAGGCACUUUUGUGCCGUUGUAUUCUGAAGUUAGGGUCCUGAGAAACGAUGCUUAAGUCUUCUGGAAAGGAGCGCCAUGGAGGGUGAUAGCCCCGUCUAGCAUUGACCUCAUAUAGGAUCUUAACAUGGAGUCGAGUUGUUUGGGAAUGCAGCUCAAAUGGGUGGUAUGCUCCAUCUAAAGCUAAAUAUCUGCGAGAGACCGAUAGUAAACAAGUACUGUGAGGGAAAGAUGAAAAGAACUUUGAAAAGAGAGUGAAAAAGUACGUGAAAUUGUUGAAAUGGAAGGGUAGGCCGCUAACCAUGUAGAGCCGUGUUUGGGGGGAAGAUAAAUGCUGUAGAAUGUAGCUCCUCGGAGUAUUAUAGAUGCAGUUCAUAUUCCCACCCGAGCGCGAGGAUCUCAGGUUCUACUAAAUGGUGGUCUACCAC
rnacentral:rRNA from 1 species